rnacentral:misc_RNA from 1 species
UCCAGAGUUUCGGAAUAUCCGAUGGGCGUGGUUUUCAGCUAAAAUCUUUCGGAGCGGCCAUAACAGCUCAGAAGAGUUCUUGUGUCGUGUGCGUGGAGUUCUCGUCUGAAGUCGAGGAGAAAAAAGAAAAUCCACCAAAAAAAAAAUGGAUGUCCAGACAGGGCUGAUUUGCGUAAGUUUGGUAGUCGUAUCGGCUGCUGUUAUUCUUUUUGUGUUAAUGUUUGGCAUGAAAGAAAAAACCUACGACGAAGCAAUAGCUGAACAACGCAAGCUACCUGAUGACUUGCUAAUAGGUAAAAGAGAAAAAGGUAAAGAGAAGAAGCACAAAAAUAAAGCUGGGGGGAAAAAGGUAAAAGAGAAGAAGGAAGAAAAGGAAGACAGGGAAGAUGAAAAAACCGAGCACGUUCAAUUCGAGGAAAAUCCUCAAAUACUCAUUGACGAAGCACCCAUUCAGGAGGAAAAAAAUAUCAAGGGGAACAAGAAGAAGGGAAAAGUUGACAAAGUGAAACCGAUUCUUCUCAACAAAGAUGAGCCGGUGAUUUUGGUACCAGAACCCAGUCUUUCACAACCCCAGUCAGAAGACAUUAAUCAUUUUGAUUUGACUCAACCCAAAGAUGAUCUUGAACUUAUUCGUAGUCACAGCAAGGACAAUUUACAUCAAAUGACACAGUCCGAACCAAUUGUCAACAAAUCUCUCGUAGACACUCCUACGAAAACUAAGAAGAACGCAAAAGAACAACCUAAGAAAGGUGGGGAUGCAAAGGAGGAAAAAAAAGAUGUUGGAAACACUCCACAGCAACAAGCACUCAAAGAAACUCCCAAGGAAAUUAAAGAGCAACAAAAAGAAACUCCUGUUAAAACAGCCAAAGAAAUUGUAAAAGAAAUCUCAGUUCCUGUUCAGUCAUCGGUUAAAGAAUCUAAGAAUAAGAAGAAGAGGAAUGACAUUUUAGCACAAAUUGGGGGCGACAAGGAUGGCGUCAACAUAUCUUUGCUUAUGCCUCUUAUUCAGAAGGCAGAACUUAGCCGGUCUGAAAUUCAAAUUCUUACUGAUCAGUUGUUGAACAAACAAUUAGAUAAUCCUUUAGAGCAUUCUGAGUGGACCGAAGGUCGCACAGAUCCUGUGAUUAAACUUAAAAAACAGUUGGCAGAGAAGGAAAAAGCAUUGGCUGAUGAACAAGAGGCAAGUGUUGCUGUUCAGAAUAAGCUAAAAGAAUUGCGCUCGGAAUUGAAUGCUGAAAAGUCUAGGCUCUCUGCGAACGUGAGGCAGCUCGAAGAAACUUUGAGUGCCAAAGCUACCGAGGCUCAGACUCUGCAUACUCGUGUGCAACACAUAUUGGAGAGUCAUGCUGCAGAGAAACAAGGAUUUGCCAGACAAAUAGAACAAUUGCAAAGCCAGGUUAACGAAAAGAUGACUAUUAUUCAUCAAAUGCAAGAGGAUCAGGGACAAACUCAAGGACAUCUUCAGCAAGAACUUGUCACACAGAGAAAGCAACUGGAGGUACAAUAUUCGCAGAUGAGGGAAAACGAGAACGCCUUGAAAACACAACUUGCCCAAAAACAUGUGGAAAUUCAAGAACUGCAGAAUAUUAAUAUGACCGUUAACCAAGAGAUCCAGAUGCUGCGAUCUACCUGUGAAAAUAGCGCUGCUGAGGUUGAGCGGCACAGGCAACAGCUAGCGAUGACGCAAGAGCAGUUAAUGCAUUCCCAGGGACAGCUGCAGCACUAUAAGGAAGCAGGAGAAAGACUUCAGGAGAUGGUUAGACAGCUCGAGGAAUCUCAUCGUACAAUUGAUGAUUUAGAACAUAGACUGCAGAAUACGCUUCGCCACGAACAAGACCUUCAAAAACAAUUGAACUCCGUUAAAUCAGAGUUGAACGCUGUGAAAAACGAAGCUAACGAGGCCAACAAUCUUAAAGCUGAACUUAACAAGGUACAAGCCGAGUUGAACAAAUUAAAGUCUGACCUUUCAGUCUCUCAAAACGAAGCAAAGACUGAGGCAGUCGAAAUUACUUCACUCAGGACUGAGUUGAGCACGACGCAAAACGAACUGAAACAAUCGCAGUCAAACUUAAUUGUCGCCCAGACUGAACUAAAGAACUCGCAAUCCAACUGUAACAAACUUCAAAAAGAUUUCGAUAUCAUUCAAGCAGAUCUUAGGAAAUCAGCGGGGGAACUGGUUAAGGCUCAAAGUGAAAGUAAAAAUGCAAAAACUGAACUCUCUAAGGCACAGAGCGACUUGAAUAAGGUUCAAACAGAAUUAGCCAAGACCCAGGAGGAACUUAGAAACGCCCACAAAACUGUGUCUGAACUGAAAAUGUUGUCUGUUGAGGUUGAAAGGCUACAGCAGGGUGCGAGAAAUUCUUCUGAAUCACAAAUUGAGGUUGCAAGAUUGCAAGAAGAAAAUAACAGACUCUCGUCACAGUCUGGGACUCUUGCUGAGCUGCAAAAGGAGAUCAGAAAACUUCGCGAGGAAAAUGAGUUCUUAGCCUCUCAGUUAGUAGCUAAUAAGGAACGUCCAGAUGCCGAAGGCCGUGAAAAUGGCGUUGAAACAAAGGCUGUUAAGAACAUUCAACAUAUUGAACACAACAAUUUACUAGAACAGAAGGAAACUCUGCUGGAAAAGCUGAGAGUGGAAGUAAAUCAGAAAGACACAGAGCUGAGUAAGCUUACUGUCCAGUUGGAGACACUGAAAAGCGAUAUGAACAACGAACGUCGUCAAAGAACAAAUCUUCAGGACGAACUUGAGGUCCAGAAACAGAAGAACAAUGAAUUACGAACUAAGAACUGGAAAGUGAUGGAAGCUCUUUCAGCAGCAGAGUCUCGCACAAGUUCUAAUUCCAGAAGAGCAAUUGAUGAGUUAUCGCAAAAAGUUGGAAGAGAUGAACAGAAAUCCACUGACAUGUUACUGCAGAGGAUAUUCCCCGAUGUUAGUAUUGCUGAAUCUUCUCAUGAGAAGUGGUUAACUGCCAUUGAAGGCAAAGUUUCUUCACUUGUCAAGGACUCCAAACGUAAACAAGAAGACAUGGAAAAGGAGAAUCAGAGCCUACGGGGGAUGGUGUCGCAUUAUGAAGAAAUAUUUCACGAUACAGAAGGAACACUUAAUGAACUUCAAAAUCACCUAGAAUCGGAAGAAGCGAGGUGGCAGGCACAGAUAAAACAAAAAGAAGAAAUUUUAACUAGUCUUAAAACUGAACUUGACAGUCUUCGAAGCAAAUCUGGCCUCACAGAACAGCUCGAUAAAAAAAUAUCUGAAUUGGAAACGAGAUUAGCUGAAGCAGAAACCUUCAGACACCAAGCCCAAACCCAAUUAUCAUCUUUUAAAAUUCAAUCCGAAUCAUCUCCAGUGAAAGGAGAGAAAAAUCUUAGUCUCAACGCAGUAGAAAAACUUGGAGAGGAAAAAUCUCGAUUACUGCAAUCGUUGCAACAAGAAAUUAGCAACAAGGCUGCUGUUGAUGCAGAGGUAGCAAGGCUUCGCUCCCUACUAGAAAAAUCCGAGUCUGGUCUGGCAGAGGAGAAAAAUCUUGUCUUACAAUUGCAGAACGAAGUUGGCCGACUAAAGGUUAGCAACUUUUGAAUGAAGUAUCCCCCGGUUUCAGGAAUUUAGAUCAAUCCACCGUAAACGGGCCACCAAUAUCAGAUUCGUCCAAGUCUGAGGGUGGUUCAGGAAAAAAGUAACAACCUCAAAGAAUAAAUUACGUUGAAGAAAAAACAGCAUCAGGGGUAAAAA